rnacentral:rRNA from 1 species
AUAUUGAGCAAUGGAGGAAACUCUGACGCAGCGACGCCGCGGGGGCGAUGAAGGUCUUCGGAUCGUAAAGCUCUGUCCUUGGGGAAGAAGAUAGAAAGAUUUGACGGUACCCGAGGAGGAAGCCCUAGCUAAAUACGUGCUAGAAGCCGCUGUAAGACGGAGGGGGUAAGCGUUGUCCGGAAUUAUUGGGCGUAAAGGGUGCGUAGGCGGGUUUUAAAGUCAGCUAUGAAAGACCACGGCUUAACCGUGGGGUUGCAUUUGAAACUGGAAGGCUUGAGUAUCGGAGAGGGUAGUGGAAUUCCCAGUGUAGCGGUGAAAUGCGUAGAUAUUGGGAGGAACACCAGUGGCGAAGGCGACUACCUGGACGAAAACUGACGCUGAUGCACGAAAGCUAGGGGAGCAAACA